UUUCCUCUGCUCUAUUGACUGAAUGAAGAGGGCGAGGAACCGACGGAUUACUAAAACCUGCAACUCCCAGACUGACUUUUACCACCCUCCCAAAUUUCUUUAAAAUAUACGAGUACUGUAUUUUUUUUUUUUUUUUUUCCUCUCUCCCACUAAGAUGAUUUUUAACUUACAAUGCUAAUGGUUUAAAGUUGGCUGGUCAACUUCAAACAAGGUAAUGAGAUACUUGGUAGUUGUGAGCUGGUGACGUCAGGGUACACCUCUCCUUGUGUCAUUAAACAGGGAUUGGCUUUUGUAACACUGUUCUUAGCCCAUGCCAUAUCAUUCCCUCUUUGUCUGUCUGAGACUAAAACAAACUAAAGCACAAGGACAUUGCAGAGUAGGGCAGCUAAGGCUGGACAACUUGUGUAAAAUUAAAUGUGACUAGUUCUUGUGCUGUUAAUGUGUUGGCCUGACUAUCCAGUCCUCAAUGUUACUAAUGUUCUCAUUCUAGGAAGUAUCUUUAUUAAAAAAAAAAGUUUG